GUCAGGCUCUGAAGCUAGGCUGCCCAGGAGGCCUGGGAGAAGCUUCUCUGGGCUUCGGGGGCUGGAAUAAGGGUCAAAAGGUGGAGAAGGGGAAAGGAGUGUGUGGGUCCUGUUCUGGUUCCCCAGCAGAGACUGUAAAUGUAGUCUCCCUGGGUCUAACGCUGGGUCUCUGCGAGGCCUCUCUGGCAUUAUCUCUCUAGACAGGUUUCUCUUUCUGAUCCCUUUCUCAGAAUUUAUUUUUGUUCUUCCUUUCCCAACCAGUUUAGAAAGGCUGGGUAUCCCCAGCCUGUUUGCUCUCCCCACCUCAUACAAGCAGCAAUCUAGAUUCUUCUAAUGAGAAUAUUCUCUUUUUUCUUUUCUUUUCAAGUCAGGCUUCUAGGUGUAGAAAUUAAGGCCAAUUGUUAUUAUCUCUUAUAUUUUUUCUGAACUUUCCAAUUUUUCUACAACGAGCACAGUCACAAAAUGGAAGAAGGGGAAGAAAUUUAGAAAAGUAGUGAGUUACACUGAUAUCCAACCAAUUUAGAAGAGGAGAAUCUGGAGAGAUUAUGGAGACCGAAGGAGUAAGUAAAAUGACAGGAGAAAUGGUCAGGAAAGACAUUGGGGUGGGGCAUGUGUAUUAGAGGGGGAGACAUCCUCUUUCCCUCUCCGAGCCCUUUCCUCAAGUUGCUUAGAAAAGAGAGAAGUAGGGAAGAAGAAAAAAGCCGUAAGGGCCACUGCUUCUUGGAAGCGCUGCCUCUGGAAUCGGAGCUAGAUAGCACGCCCCAGCUAGGCGGUUCCCUCCGGUGGGAGGCGCUCGGUUUGCAAGGAGUUAACAGCGUUGCUCGUGAACUUGGCCUGUCUGUCUGGCUCGUGAUGGAUGGUGAGACUCGCUGACAAGUUCAGCCGGAGGGACCUCCCCUGCUGUGGAGGCGGGAGAAACACGUAGGCGGAGGGGACCCUGGGCGAGCGGCCGGGACGCGCGGGUAAGACUGUGGUUUGGCGAGGGAGGGCGACCGACAAGGCGCCUUGACCACUCGCCUCCUCCCCUGGAGCCUGCCUCUACCAUCCUGAAGCACCAAAGUUUCCCGGAGCUUCGCGCAGUAUGGGGCAGGCAUGAACACUUCUCAAGGUCAGGUAAUACGGCUGGGUUGUGGGAUGAGGACAGUGAUGAUACCCAGAAUAUUUUACCAUGGGCGCCAGCCAGUCGGAAUGACAGCUGGCCCAAAUCGCCAGCCCAGGGAGGAGGGCACAGCUGGCCUGGAGUAAGUGCAUUUGUCUUUGUGUCUUUCUCUCUGCCCCAUCACGUGUGUGUUCAUCAGCAAGCAUGCAGACUUCCCUCGAGGGCAGUUCCUGACAAGGUUGUAGGAUGGGGGAUCCUGGGGUCUCCUUUGCAUUCGGAGCAAGUUAGGUGUGCCUGGCAUGGGGACACCAUGCCCCACCUGGCAGAGGCCCCAGCAACAAAGGGGAGUGAGCUGAGGUCCUUCCCAGCUGCAGGCCCUGCCCUGGUUGUCAGCUCUUCACCAGGCUCUGGGGGAACCAGCUUGUGGUGGCUCUCACCCUCCUUACAUCCCUUGAAGCUGCUGCUCCUUCCUGUCUCUCCCUCUCAGAAGCAUCAUGGGUCAGGAUUAGGGCCUGUCUGCAUCCUGAUCCACUUCCCCACACCUGUUUCAUCAUUAGCCAGGGAGGUUCAUGGCUGCUGCCAUCUGGCUGUGGAGCGCUGGGAAUGUGGUAGUGGUGAUAGUGCUGCAGAGCAGUGUUCUCUCAUUCAUGAAGGCUUCUGGCCUCAAGGCUUCCUGAAGCCACCCCUGACCUAUGGUGUGCUGUGCCAACAGUAGCUCCUUUUACCUGGUCCUUCUUUUUGCCUUAUAGAGUGAAAUCCUUGCCCAAAGUGACCCAAGGUGGCCUGGUAGAGUAACGAGGGCAUAGGAAGACACAGCCAUACUCACCUGGAAGUCAGAGACUUGGCCUCCAGCCCAUCUUCCUGGUGAAUAGCCUUCGGUGAGCCAGCUCCCGUUCUGCACCAGGAAAAGGAGCAUUGGAUAGAAUGGCUUCAAAGGUGCCUUGCCUUUUAGCUGUGACAUUUUUAAAUUUUAUUUUAUUUAUUUGAGAGAGAGUGAGAGCAAGAGAGAUCACAAAGAGGGAGAAGCAGAUUCUCCACCUAGCAAGGAACCUGACGUGAGGCUUGAACCCGGGACUCUGAGAUUGCAACCUGAGCCCAAGGCACAUGCUUAACCCACUGAGCCACCCAGGCACCCCUAGCUGUGAUGGUUUAUAAUCUGGAAGUUCUUCCUGCCUUUUUUCUCCUGUUACUCACCAGUGGCCCAUACUCCCAGCCCCCUUGUUCACAGGAAGCCCACCCCAUUUGGUUCCCUUCGAGUUGCCCUGAGAUGCAGGGACAUACCUUCAACCCAGAGGCUACAGAAAUGAAAACCCAGCUCAGUGUGGGCAAGCGACAUGAAGCUGGGAGUGACCUGCCCUGGAGCAAGACUUGGGCCUGAGAGUGCAUCUUAGCUGAGAUUGCUCCCAGCCUCUGAUCUGGAGCCUUUUCUUCUGUUUCUCUUUUCUCUGACAAGUGUUUGCCCUGGUGGUUCUGUUUGCCACUGGCUGGCCCUCAGGGUGGCUUUGCAGUGUUCUCCUUGGGGCUUGCCCCAUCCUACUUCCCUUUGCCAAGGCCUUUAAACUCGGAAGCUCUAAGCCCCCAGAAGCUGUGCAUGAGGGAAGAGCUGCUUCUCCGUGGCCCACCCUUCUCCCUGGCACCCCCCCAGGCAGGUGGCUCUGCCAUGAUGUGGGCCAUGGAGUCAGGUGAAUGUGGGCCCAAGGCCUUUUAUGGCCAGUGUGACCUUGGGCCAGCCCUUUACCUCACUGAGCCUGUUUCCUUAUUUUUAAAAUGAGAACAACCACACCUUUUUCAUCAAGUUGCAGUGAGGCCUAGAAAGAAUACAAGUAAAACACCUUGAAAUUAUAUGGUCACUCUUUUACCACCUAGUAGCAGCUGGAGCCAGGAGUUCCAGAGGCCAUAGACAGAAACCCUUGUCCUUCUUGACCUCUUGCCUUGGAGUUUCAGGCCUGCUGUGCUGGAGAGGUUCUGGAAAAACCUUGGGGGAGUUCCUCCCCCCAUCCCCAGGGAGCAGAAAUACCUACUUUCAGCCCUAAUAAUACCUGAAUGAGAUUUAUAGGACACCUUCCUCCCCAGAGGGUAAAGCUCCUUCUCACAUAUUAUUCUCUUAUCUUUAGAUUGUCCUGUGAAGUGUGAUGGGACAACCUCUUUUCAGCUUCUCUGAAGAUGGAGACCGAGAGGAAUGGUGGGUCUUGCCAAGGUCACAGGACUGGAAUUCACAGCCACGCCACUCCAGGACCCUGGAGGUCAUCAGCAGGGGAAAGGGGAAAAGCCAAGCAGAAAGGGAAGAUGUCAUCUGAAGCCAGCGUCUUGAGGCUGCGACAGUCGGGCCCGGAUAGAGGAGGCGGCUAUGGGCAGAGGUGCAAGCUCCGCUUCCAUCCCUGCCCAUCUGGGACUUGGCAAAGGACCUGGGAAGACAUGCCCCGACCACCAUGCGGGGGGGGGGGGGGGGGGGGGGGGCUUGGCCUUUGGCCUGUGGGCUACCAUUUCUGCCCUUGUCACACUGUGUGCCUCUUCCAGGUUUGAGGUACUCUGACCAGGCUUCCAGCAAACUGGAGCUCUCAGUCAUCUGUAUUUCUGACCCAGAGGAGUGAGGGCAGCACACUGGGAGGUUGCUAAAGCAAGGGGCUCCAGCCUUCUAGGAGUUAACGACUCCCUCUCCCCAGCUGUCCUCCACUUGGUGCUCCUCUUCCUCCCUCCUCCUGCUCACAGCAGGCAGGGCCUGGACCUGGGAGCCAUGCCGCUGUGCUGUUGCCACGGGAGCCGGGAGGCAGAUCUGAGCUAUGCAGGGAAAAGACCCAGCCUGUCAAAGUGUCUGAGAUGAACCGCCGCCGUCCCCGUGCAGCUGGGCUCAGACGUGUCUCGGCUCUUGUUCUGUGCCUGAGAAUGGCGAAGCCCAGUGAGGUUCAAGGGCAAACUCACUAUUCAUUAGUCAGGGGUUCUUGACGUCCCGUCUCUCCCAGGGAUGGGAUUUCCCCCCCCUUCCUCUUUCUCUCCCUUCUGUGACACAUUCCUGGGUUCCUUUGGUGAGGACUGCACCCUCCUCUGGCUACUGCCCAGCCCCUUCUCCAUGGCCCCUAAAUAAACUACCCCCAAGGAGACCAGGCAGGGCAGAGACAAUGGCCACAGGAAACCAUUCAGGCAGGACUCUAGCCAUGCUGGCCUGCCCUCUGCUCCCAGCACCCUUGUGAGCCCCACUUUCCUCUGACUCAGGGUACCCCGGGCCACCAGCAUGCACGAUCCUAGACAGGAGGAAGCCCCUGGUCACUGCCCUUGGGACAACAGACCCAUUCUCAGAGGCUCCUGAGUCGCCUCCAUAGCCUGGAUCUCACACAGCUGGAUAGUUUGGUGCCUUUCUCUACCAUCACCGGUCUGUUUUAAGACACUCUUAAACACUGUGGUUGGAGAAUGUAAAUUGUACAGUAUUUUCUGUAAGGUGGUGGGUAUUAGGAUGGAAAAGACAUAUACUUAGUCACAAGCAAAUUGCACGGCUAGGAAUUUAUUCUCUGGUCAUAUAUGUAAAAAUGUCCAAAGAAUUAUGUCCAAGGAUGUUUAUCAGAACAUUUUGUUUUUAAGAAUGUAAGAACAUGUAAAUGAACCCAUGGUCCAUUCAUACGGUGGAAUAUUAUGCAGCUGCAAAAAUCACUGUGGUAGAUCUCUCUAUAAGCUGAUAUGGAAGGUUGACCAAUAUAUAUUGUUGCACGAGGAGAAUAAAUUGCAGAACUGGCAAUAGAGUAUGAUCUUAUUUAUGUGUAUUUGGAAGUCAUUCCUAAGUAUGCUUAUAUAUGAAGAGUUUCUGGAAAUAAGUAUUGGAAGGCUGUCUCUGGGCAGUGGGAUGGAUGGAUGCCUUCUUCUGUACUGUUACAUGUUCUUUUCAUGCUCAUGGAAUACUUACUGAAAAAUUUAAAGACGCUAUUCAUUAUAAUAGGCUUAACUUCUAUUAACCAAAUUAGGGUAAGAGCUUCAAGAGGAUAGUGGUGAUGUUGCAGUUAAAAACAUCCCAGAAACUCUGCCAUUGGCCAUUUUCAGGCCUAAGAACCACAUAGCAUUAUCGUCGUGGUUACUAUGGUUAAUUAAAAGCCUACUAAGUGUCAGGCUUAGUAUCUCUGGGUCUUGCCUCAGUGGUUAUCAUUAUUCCAAUUUCACCAUGUGGAAGAGUAGUUGAUUCGUUUGUCUGAGCUCCUCAGCAGGGAGGGGGUGAGGGUGG
rnacentral:lncRNA from 1 species